rnacentral:rRNA from 1 species
UGGGGUAUAUUGGACAAUGGGCGAAAGCCUGAUCCAGCCAUGCCGCGUGUGUGAAGAAGGUCUUCGGAGUGUAAAGCUCUUUAAGUUGGGAGGAAGGGCAGUAAGCGAAUACCUUGCUGUUUUGACGUUACCGACAGAAUAAGCACCGGCUAACUCUGUGCCAGCAGCCGCGGUAAUACAGAGGGUGCAAGCGUUAAUCGGAAUUACUGGGCGUAAAGCGCGCGUAGGUGGUUCGUUAAGUUGAAUGUGAAAGCCCCGGGCUCAACCUGGGGACAGCAUCCAAAACUGGCGAGCUAGAGUAGGGCAGAGGGUGGUGGAAUUUCCUGUGUGGCGGUGAAAUGCGUGGAUAUAGGAAGGAACACCAGAGGCGAAGGCGACCACCUGGGCUCAUACUGACACUGAGGUGCGAAAGCGUGGGGAGCAAACAGG